rnacentral:tRNA from 1 species
GUCAGGAUGGCCGAGCGGUCUAAGGCGCCAGACUCAAGGUUCAUACCUUCUCGGUUUAAUACCGAGUUUGGGGCUUCUGGUCCUCUCUGAGGGCGUGGGUUCGAAUCCCACUUCUGACA